rnacentral:rRNA from 1 species
UACAGAGGGUGCAAGCGUUAAUCGGAAUUACUGGGCGUAAAGCGUGCGUAGCCGGUUACAUAAGUCGGGUGUGAAAGCCCCGGGCUCAACCUGGGAAUUGCAUUCGAGACUGCGUAGCUAGGGUGCGGAAGAGGGAAGCGGAAUUUCCGGUGUAGCGGUGAAAUGCGUAGAUAUCGGAAGGAACACCAGUGGCGAAGGCGAGUCUCUGGACGACUCCUGACACUGAGGCACGAAAGCUGGGGGAGCAAACAGG